ACGAUUUCACAGUGGGACAGCACGGAGCUCUCACACGCUUACCGGGGGAACGAGCCUCACAGUCCCUUUCCUCUUAUGCGUCACCACCUGCUCACCUGAUUCAACUGUCUCCUCUAAAAUACUUACAACUCAGUAAUGAUGAUGAACAGUGCGAUUGUGAUCAGUGUGUGCGAUCGCUGCACCUCCUGGAUGUUAUCGACUCCCUUCUGGCCCCGCUGCAGGUCGCUGGAGCGCUCCAGGUUCCCGUCCACGGUGUGUUUUCACUGUUCAGUCCCUGAAAGCCUCCGGUGGGCAUUCCCUCCAACAGCAUCGAGGACAACUUCUGAUCCAGCCUCUCCACAGACGACUCCUGAAAAGCCUGAAACAGAGAAAAAAGACAGAUUGCGAGCACACCAGAGGUUAAAAUAACGUCUGCAGGAUCUGCUCGUUCCAGCGGACAGGCUUCACUCUCACUGUCUGAUUCUCACCAGUGAACUCAACCUCGGUGUCGCUGCCAGCCGCC